rnacentral:rRNA from 1 species
AGCCGGAUUAAUACRCSAUACGCUCUACGGAGGAAAGGGGGGGAUCGCAAGACCUCUCGCUUUAGGGGCGGCCGAUGGCGGAUUAGCUAGUUGGUGGGGUAAAGGCCUACCAAGGCGACGAUCCGUAGCUGGUCUGAGAGGACGACCAGCCACACUGGGACUGAGACACGGCCCASACYCUACGGGAGGCAGCAGUGGGGAAUUUUGGACAAUGGGGGCAACCCUGAUCCAGAAAUGCCGCGUGUGUGAAGAAGGCCUUCGGGUUGUAAAGCACUUUUGUCCGGAAAGAAAUCUUAUGGGCUAAUACCCUGUAGGGAUGACGGUACCGGAAGAAUAAGCACCGGCUAACUACGUGCCAGCAGCCGCGGUAAUACGUAGGGUGCAAGCGUUAAUCGGAAUUACUGGGCGUAAAGCGUGCGCAGGCGGUUCGCUAAGACAGAUGUGAAAUCCCCGGGCUUAACCUGGGAACUGCAUUUGUGACUGGCGGGCUAGAGUAUGGCAGAGGGGGGUAGAAUUCCACGUGUAGCAGUGAAAUGCGUAGAGAUGUGGAGGAAUACCGAUGGCGAAGGCAGCCCCCUGGGCCAAUACUGACGCUCAUGCACGAAAGCGUGGGGAGCAAACAGGAUUAGAUACCCUGGUAGUCCACGCCCUAAACGAUGUCAACUAGUUGUUGGGGAUUCAUUUCCUUAGUAACGUACUAACGCGUGAAGUUGACCGCCUGGGGAGUG